GUGUAAGACCCCACCAUGGCCUGACAGGAGUGUGGCAUGACAGCAGAUCAGUGCGGGGUCCAACGAGGAGGCCGGCCGUCUGGUCCACUAAUGCGGGUCUGAGAGUGACGGCUGUAAUUCAGGAGAGGCCACCUACCAGUUAACAAAGUCGUUACAAAGCAUUUCUGAUGCACAUCUAGCGGCGGAGCAGAGCGGCGGCCAUCUGGAAUGACCGCGCCAUGUGAUCAGGGUGACUCAAUCCCCUAACCCCCUCCCCCCUUAAUGCGGACGGGCCGCAGAUGAAACAGCGUGCUCCUGCCUGCCUCGAUGUGAAACCCAGCUACCAGAGAGGAGGACGGCGUCACCCCGUCGAGCCUGUCGUAAUCUCCUCCAGGAGCUGCGCAUGGGGCCAACGCGCAGCUACGACGUGGGUACGACCAGGCGCUCGACACGGAGCAUGCUGAGCCACAAGCUGCCACUCGACACGCCACUCACCCAGCAACUAGCUGCGACUACGGGAAGUCAAGAGAGG